UAGGGAAUCUUCCACAAUGGACGCAAGUCUGAUGGAGCAACGCCGCGUGAGUGAAGAAGGGUUUCGGCUCGUAAAGCUCUGUUGUUAAAGAAGAACACGUAUGAGAGUAACUGUUCAUACGUUGACGGUAUUUAACCAGAAAGUCACGGCUAACUACGUGGCAG
rnacentral:rRNA from 1 species